rnacentral:rRNA from 1 species
GUUUGACCUCAAAUCAGGUAGGAUUACCCGCUGAACUUAAGCAUAUCAAUAAGCGGAGGAAAAGAAACCAACAGGGAUUGCCUUAGUAACGGC